UACGUAGGUGGCAAGCGUUGUCCGGAUUUAUUGGGCGUAAAGCGUGCGCAGGCGGUUCCUUAAGUCUGAUGUGAAAGCCCCCGGCUCAACCGGGGGAGGUCAUUGGAAACUGGGGAACUUGAGUGCAGAAGAGGAGAGUGGAAUUCCAUGUGUAGCGGUGAAAUGCGUAGAUAUAUGGAGGAACACCGGUGGCGAAGGCGGCUCUCUGGUCUGUAACUGACGCUGAGGCUCGAGAGCGUGGGGAGCGAACAGG
rnacentral:rRNA from 1 species